ensembl:snRNA U6 U6 spliceosomal RNA
GUGCUGGCUUCCACAGCACAAAUACUAAAAUUGGAACCAUGCAGAGAAGACUAGCAUGGCCCCUGGGCAAGGAUGACAGCAAAUUUGUUUAAAAAAAAAAAAGAAAA